CCCUUAGAUGUCCGGGGCUGCACGCGCGCUACACUGAAUGAAUCAGCGUGCUAGAAAACCUUGUUUGACAUGGCUAGGUAACCCAUUGAAAAUCAUUCGUGAUUGGGAUCGGGACUUGCAAAUGUGUCCCUUGAACGAGGAAUUCCCAGUAAGUGCGGGUCAUCAGCUCGCGUUGAUUACGUCCCUGCCCUUUGUACACACCGCCCGUCGCUGCCCGGAACUGAGCCGUUUCGAGAAGACUGAGGAUUGCGGACUUGAGGCCUUCACGGGCUUCUAGUCGGUGAAAAUCAAUUUAAUCGCAGCGGCUUGAACCGGGCAAAAGUCGUAACA
rnacentral:rRNA from 1 species